UAUAGGGAACGAAUUGAGACACAGCCCUGGAUGUAAUCACGUCUGUGCUGAUCACGAGCCUGUACACAAACCCGCAGCUCACUUGCAAAAGAUUAUCCGGUUAUUUAUUACACGCAAAGUAAACGUUUUUAUCAUGAAUCAAUGUUAUAGUUUUGUAUGUCACAUUAUUUUUUGAGAAGAGUCAUGACUGAACGCGGACCUUACACGCUGUUGUUUUUUUGUGUGCGUAUGGCCAAGGUACAGUGCGCUCUUUUGCACUAUGACCAGCCAUCAGUAAAUCGAAAUACAGUAAAAAAAUGAGCGCGAAACCCUGACACUUUACAGAAAGGCACGGAUAUCCCUGCCCGAAGAAAAAAAGAACACAGGACAAUGGUUGCAAGUUAAACAGCUGGUAAGUAAAAUGAGUAAUCCUGUGAUUUCUUAACAUAUUUAAUUUUUUAUUUGGUUAAUUAAUUUGAAACACUUAACAACACGCAGUUAACGGUAAUUUACCUCACACGUUAGGACUGUUGUGACUAAACAGAUAGGGAGAGAGCUUUGUGGUGAAAACUCUUUUUAAGACUCAACAAAACUUUCGGUGCAAGUUAUCAUAUUUAUUUCUUUUCCUUUUUAGAACAUUUCACCGUACUAUCUGCAAAGGUAAGUAAUCUUCUUGUGAUUUCUUACCAUAUUUAAUAUUUUUGGUUUAGUUCAUUAAUUUGAAACACUUUUUUUAAACACUUAACAACACGCAGUUGACGGUAAUUUACCUCACUGUUGUGAACAAGAUAGUUAGAGAGCUUUGAGGUAGAAACUCGUUUAAGACUGAAGAAAACGCAACAUUCUGUGCAUAUAAUCAUAUUUAAAUAUUUUCUUCCCCUUUUUAGAACAUUUCACCAUCAACAUAUUAACAUAAACGGUUCUCUUUUUCUUGUUUGACUGCGUUUGGUACAGGUCACAACAACGACGGCAGAUGUAGAGACCACGCUUUCCCUUGCUUCCACUCCACGGCUGAUCAUGCUUGAGGAUCCAGAUCUACAAAACAAAAAAUGGAUGCUGCCGAUUGAAGGCUAAGUCCGAUUUCCUGCGAUUGACCUACCAUUUCUUCAGCAUUUGCUGUUCACUUUGGUUGCUACUACGUGCUCAACAUCGAGUACCAAGUGCAAGCAGCCACUACUUUGGAGUUUAUUCAGAGAUUUAUUGUGAGGAUCAGCCCCGACAACAGCAAGUGCUCCUCUAACUUCCAGGUGAGCAAAAGAAGUGGGAAGAUGGUGCAAAGGAAGAACUCUGGCCUGAACCAUCAUGUAUAUAUCCACCUUAUUAAGGACUUUAUGAAUUAAGCAAAACUAUUAAGCAACUAAAGCAAAUACAUUCUACUCAACUCACCAGAGACGGUUUCAUCGGACGCACAUGACACACGUCUGGAUCCGAUCCUUACUUCCGGUUUCGCUUUUUUAAUGGUCUGACUAGUUGCUAAACUGAUCUCUUGAACAAAAGCCUCGUUGAAAAUAACAAAUGUUUUGGUUUCCGAGCUAAUCUAUGUGUUGUUUUUUUGCUUGUUAUAUAAAUAAAUGCGUUUAAAGAACUUUGUUGUUUUUUAUUCUUAGCGGAGUUUAUCGGAAGUUCAUGCGGACCGCGACAGCCGCUUGUUUAUGAUGUUACUGCUGAAACCAUCUAUAGUUAUAACUGAAUUUGUACUAGUAUUAUUUGAUAAUACUGUGAAAUGAAACAGUGAGUAAAUGUUACAUUGGCUUUGAAAAAGCUGUUGCUGCAAGAAAUUACAAUUUACUCAGAAUAAUAUUUUGAAUGUAUAAGUUUUUGACAUUGCUUAUGACUGCAUUUGAAUGUAUUGUUCAUGAAUUGAUGCUGUGAUAUGUGUGUGUACAUGUUUUGUAUUUUACUCA